rnacentral:snoRNA from 1 species
AACCCAUGAUGAGGGCACUUAUGAAGUAACUCCUUCAAUCACUUCCAAGCCUCAUACAAAGACUCGUCAUCUAAUUAUUGGAAAGUUGUGAUCUCAUUCCUCAACUU